rnacentral:rRNA from 1 species
UGGGGGAUAUUGCACAAUGGGCGAAAGCCUGAUGCAGCGACGCCGCGUGGGGGAUGAAGGCCUUCGGGUUGUAAACUUCUUUUGCUCUGAACAAGGCGCACCAUGGGGUGUGUUGAGUGUAGGGGUUGAUUAGCGCCGGCUAACUACGUGCCAGCAGCCGCGGUAAUACGUAGGGCGCGAGCGUUGUCCGGAAUUAUUGGGCGUAAAGGGCUUGUAGGUGGCUGGUUGCGUCUGUCGUGAAAGCUCAUGGCUUAACUGUGGGUUUGCGGUGGGUACGGGCUGGCUUGAGUGCAGUAGGGGAGGCUGGAAUUCCUGGUGUAGCGGUGGAAUGCGCAGAUAUCAGGAGGGUUACCGGUGGAGAAGGCGGGUCUCUGGGCUGUUACUGACACUGAGGAGCGAAAGCAUGGGGAGCGAACAGG